rnacentral:rRNA from 1 species
GAUCCUGAGUACGACGGAGCACGUGAAAUUCCGUCGGAAUCUGGGAGGACCAUCUCCUAAGGCUAAAUACUCUCUAGUGACCGAUAGUGAACCAGUACCGUGAGGGAAAGGCGAAAAGAACCCCGGGAGGGGAGUGAAAUAGAUCCUGAAACCGUAUGCGUACAAGCAGUGGGAGCCCACUUUGUUGGGUGACUGCGUACCUUUUGUAUAAUGGGUCAGCGACUUAUAUUCUGUAGCAAGGUUAACCGAAUAGGGGAGCCGAAGGGAAACCGAGUCUUAACUGGGCGUUAAGUUGCAGGGUAUAGACCCGAAACCCGGUGAUCUAGCCAUGGGCAGGUUGAAGGUUGGGUAACACUAACUGGAGGACCGAACCCACUGUCGUUGAAAAGCCAGGGGAUGACUUGUGGAUAGGGGUGAAAGGCUAAUCAAACUCGGAGAUAGCUGGUUCUCUGCGAAAUCUAUUUAGGUAGAGCGUCGGCCGAAUGCCCUCGGGGGUAGAGCACUGGAUGGGUAAUGGGGCCUCACAGGCUUACUGAUCCUAACCAAACUCCGAAUACCGAGGAGCACUAGCCGGCAGACACACAUCGGGUGCUAACGUCCGGUGUCAAGAGGGAAACAACCCAGACCGCCAGCUAAGGUCCCAAAGUCAUGGUUAAGUGGGAAACGAUGUGGGAAGGCCCAGACAGCCAGGAUGUUGGCUUAGAAGCAGCCAUCAUUUAAAGAGUGCGUAAUAGCUCACUAGUCGAGUGACACUGCGCCGAAAAUGUACCGGGGCUAAACAUAUUACCGAAGCUGUGGAUUGUCCUUUGGACAAUGGUAGGAGAGCGUUCUAAGGGCGUCGAAGCAUGAUCGCAAGGACAUGUGGAGCGCUUAGAAGUGAGAAUGCCGGUGUGAGUAGCGAAAGACGGGUGAGAAUCCCGUCCACCGAUUGACUAAGGUUUCCAGAGGAAGGCUCGUCCGCUCUGGGUUAGUCGGGUCCUAAGCUGAGGCCGACAGGCGUAGGCGAUGGAUAACAGGUUGAUAUUCCUGUACCACCUAUAAUCGUUUUAAUCGAUGGGGGGACGCAGUAGGAUAGGCGAAGCGUGCUGUUGGAGUGCACGUCCAAGCAGUAAGGCUGAGUGUUAGGCAAAUCCGGCACUCUUAAGAUUGAGCUGUGAUGGGGAGAGGAAAUUGUUUCCUCGAGUCGUUGAUUUCACACUGCCGAGAAAAGCCUCUAGAUAGAGAUUAGGUGCCCGUACCGCAAACCGACACAGGUAGUCAAGAUGAGAAUUCUAAGGUGAGCGAGCGAACUCUCGUUAAGGAACUCGGCAAAAUGACCCCGUAACUUCGGGAGAAGGGGUGCUCUUUAGGGUGCAAGCCCAGAAGAGCCGCAGUGAAUAGGCCCAAGCGACUGUUUAUCAAAAACACAGGUCUCUGCUAAACCGUAAGGUGAUGUAUAGGGGCUGACGCCUGCCCGGUGCUGGAAGGUUAAGGGGAACUGUGAGUGUAUGCGUAGCGGUGAACUUAAGCCCCAGUAAACGGCGGUGGUAACUAUAACCAUCCUAAGGUAGCGAAAUUCCUUGUCGGGUAAGUUCCGACCUGCACGAAUGGAGUAACGAUUUCCCUACUGUCUCCACCAUGAACUCGGUGAAAUUGCAUUACGAGUAAAGAUGCUCGUUACGCGCAGCAGGACGGAAAGACCCCGGGACCUUUACUAUAGUUUGGUAUUGGUGAUUGGGACGGUUUGUGUAGGAUAGGUGGGAGACGUUGAUGCGGCCACGCUAGUGGUGGUGGAGUCGUUGGUGAAAUACCACUCUGAUUGUUCUGGUUAUCUCACUGUGGACCGUGAUCCGGUUCAAGGACAGUGCCUGAUGGGUAGUUUGACUGGGGCGGUCGCCUCCUAAAAGGUAACGGAGGCGCUCAAAGGUUCCCUCAGAAUGGUUGGAAAUCAUUCAUAGAGUGUAAAGGCAUAAGGGAGCUUGACUGCGAGACCUACAAGUCGAGCAGGGUCGAAAGACGGACUUAGUGAUCCGGUGGUUCCGCAUGGAAGGGCCAUCGCUCAACGGAUAAAAGCUACCCCGGGGAUAACAGGCUUAUCUCCCCCAAGAGUUCACAUCGACGGGGAGGUUUGGCACCUCGAUGUCGGCUCAUCGCAUCCUGGGGCUGUAGUCGGUCCCAAGGGUUGGGCUGUUCGCCCAUUAAAGCGGUACGCGAGCUGGGUUCAGAACGUCGUGAGACAGUUCGGUCCCUAUCCGUCGUGGGCGUAGGAAAUUUGAGAGGAGCUGUCCUUAGUACGAGAGGACCGGGAUGGACAUACCUCUGGUGUACCAGUUGUCGUGCCAACGGCAUAGCUGGGUAGCUAUGUAUGGACGGGAUAAGUGCUGAAAGCAUCUAAGCAUGAAGCCCCCCUCAAGAUGAGAUUUCCCAACUUCGGUUAU